rnacentral:rRNA from 1 species
UACGUAGGGGGCAAGCGUUGUCCGGAGUUACUGGGCGUAAAGCGCACGCAGGCGGUCGUGUAAGUUUGGGGUGACAGUUCUCGGCUCAACUGAGAAAGUGCCUCGAAAACUGCGCGACUUGAGGGCUUCAGAGGGACACGGAAUUCCGGGUGGAGUGGUGAAAUGCGUAGAGAUCCGGAGGAACACCGAAGGCGAAGGCAGUGUCCUGGGGAGUACCUGACGCUCAGGUGCGAAAGCCAGGGGAGCGAACGGG